CUAGUACGGCGAGUGAAGCGGCAACAGCUCAAAUUUGAAAUCUGGCCCUCGGGUCCGAGUUGUAAUUUGUAGAGGAUGCUUUUGGCGCGGUGCCUUCCGAGUUCCCUGGAACGGGACGCCUUAGAGGGUGAGAGCCCCGUACGGUUGGACACCAAGCCUCUGUAAAGCUCCUUCGACGAGUCGAGUAGCUUGGGAAUGCUGCUCUAAAUGGGAGGUAAAUUUCUUCUAAAGCUAAAUAUUGGCCAGAGACCGAUAGCGCACAAGUAGAGUGAUCGAAAGAUGAAAAGCACUUUGAAAAGAGGGUUAAACAGCACGUGAAAUUGUUGAAAGGGAAGCGUUUGCGACCAGACCUUUUCCUAGCGGAUCAUCCGGUGUUCUCACCGGUGCACUUCGCUAGGUUUAGGCCAGCAUCGGUUUCUGUAGGGGGAUAAAAGCUCUGGGAACGUAGCUCCUCCGGGAGUGUUAUAGCCCUCUGCAUAAUACCCUUACGGGGACCGAGGACCGCGCUUCGGCAAGGAUGCUGGCGUAAUGGUCGUCAACGACCCGUCUUG
rnacentral:rRNA from 1 species